CAUUUCCAUAGAGAGUGACUUUGCAUCAGCAGCACCAUGCUCCAGUGCUCUGGGACACUUUAUAGUCCUGACAGUUGAAGACUGGAGGACUGACAGCUGUCCUUCAUGACAACACAAGACACAGAAAUCAUGACUUUCACCUCCGUCCUCAUCUGGACUCUCCUCUGCUGCUGCCUCACAGAGUCCAGAGAACAGGUCACAGUGACUCAGUCUGGAGCAGUAACAUCUGCUCUGGGAGGAUCUGCCACCAUCACAUGUAGAACCAGUCAGAAUGUCUACAACUCAAACUGUCUAUCCUGGUACCAACAGAGAGAUGGAGAAACUCCUAAACUCCUUAUUUACCUUGCUUCCACUCGAGCAUCAGGGAUUCCAGGUCGUUUUACAGGCAGUGGAUCAAAUUCUGACUUCACUCUGACCAUCAGUGGAGUCCAGGCUGAAGAUGCUGCAGUUUACUACUGUCAGAGUUAUCACUACAUCAACAGUAAAUAUGUGUUCACACAGUGA